GAUUAAGUUAUUAAGGGCGCACGGUGGAUGCCUUGGCACUAGAAGCCGAUGAAGGACGUUACUAACGACGAUAUGCUUUGGGGAGCUGUAAGUAAGCUUUGAUCCAGAGAUUUCCGAAUGGGGAAACCCAGCAUGAGUUAUGUCAUGUUAUCGAUAUGUGAAUACAUAGCAUAUCAGAAGGCACACCCGGAGAACUGAAACAUCUUAGUACCCGGAGGAAGAGAAAGAAAAUUCGAUUCCCUUAGUAGCGGCGAGCGAAACGGGAAGAGCCCAAACCAACAAGCUUGCUUGUUGGGGUUGUAGGACACUCUAUACGGAGUUACAAAGGACGACAUUAGACGAAUCAUCUGGAAAGAUGAAUCAAAGAAGGUAAUAAUCCUGUAGUCGAAAAUGUUGUCUCUCUUGAGUGGAUCCUGAGUACGACGGAGCACGUGAAAUUCCGUCGGAAUCUGGG
rnacentral:rRNA from 1 species